rnacentral:rRNA from 1 species
GAUGAACGCUGGCGGCGUGCCUAAUACAUGCAAGUCGAGCGAACAGACGAGGAGCUUGCUCCUCUGACGUUAGCGGCGGACGGGUGAGUAACACGUGGAUAACCUACCUAUAAGACUGGGAUAACUUCGGGAAACCGGAGCUAAUACCGGAUAAUAUAUUGAACCGCAUGGUUCAAUAGUGAAAGACGGUUUUGCUGUCACUUAUAGAUGGAUCCGCGCCGCAUUAGCUAGUUGGUAAGGUAACGGCUUACCAAGGCAACGAUGCGCAGCCGACCUGAGAGGGUGAUCGGCCACACUGGAGCUGAGACACGGUCCAGACUCCUACGGGAGGCAGCAGUAGGGAAUCUGCCGCAAUGGGCGAAAGCCUGACGGAGCAACGCCGCGUGAGUGAUGAAGGUCUUCGGAUCGUAAAACUCUGUUAUUAGGGAAGAACAAAUGUGUAAGUAACUAUGCACGUCUUGACGGUACCUAAUCAGAAAGCCACGGCUAACUACGUG